rnacentral:rRNA from 1 species
UACGGAGGGUGCAAGCGUUAUCCGGAUUUAUUGGGUUUAAAGGGUGCGUAGGCGGGCUAUUAAGUCAGUGGUGAAAUCUCUCAGCUCAACUGAGAAACUGCCAUUGAUACUGAUAGUCUUGAAUUUAGUUGAAGUAGGCGGAAUGAGGCAUGUAGCGGUGAAAUGCAUAGAUAUGCCUCAGAACACCGAUCGCGAAGGCAGCUUACUAAACUAAUAUUGACGCUGAGGCACGAAAGCGUGGGGAGCAAACAGG